rnacentral:rRNA from 1 species
UCCACGCCGUAAACGAUGAAUACUAGGUGUCGGGCGUCAAAACUCGGUGCCGCAGCUAACGCAUUAAGUAUUCCGCCUGGGGAGUACGCACGCAAGUGUGAAACUCAAAGGAAUUGACGGGGACCCGCACAAGCAGCGGAGCAUGUGGUUUAAUUCGAAGCAACGCGAAGAACCUUACCAGGUCUUGACAUCCUCUUGCAAGGGCCCUAGCCGGCCCCCUCCUUCGGGACAAGAGAGACAGGUGGUGCAUGGUUGUCGUCAGCUCGUGUCGUGAGAUGUUGGGUUAAGUCCCGCAACGAGCGCAACCCUUGUGUUUAGUUGCCAACAGGUUAAGCUGUGCACUCUAAACAGACUGCCGUGGAUAACACGGAGGAAGGUGGGGAUGACGUCAAAUCAUCAUGCCCCUUAUG